UUUAACGAUUUAUAUCUAUACUCAGACGGCACAUUUAUCAGAAUUUAAGAUGGCUACCGGCGGGCACGGGCCAGGGGCGGUAAAGCCCCCGGCGGCCCCAGAGGGCGGGCCCGCCAAAGCAACGUGGUUGGUUAAACAUAGGGUUGGAGGUCGGGCCUGGAAGACCCUUACUCGGUAAUGAUCCUUCCGCAGGUUCACUAGAAGAAAUGUUAGCAAAUGUCACAAGUGUUUUUGAGGGGGGAGGGAUGGUUAAACGUACCCUACGGAAA
rnacentral:misc_RNA from 1 species